rnacentral:rRNA from 1 species
UACGGGGGGGGCAAGCGUUGUUCGGAAUUACUGGGCGUAAAGGGCGCGUAGGCGGUUCGCUAAGUUGAAUGUGAAAACUCUGGGCUUAACCCAGAGCCUGCAUCCAAAACUGGCGAACUGGAGUACUGGAGGGGAAAGCGGAAUUCCUGGUGUAGCGGUGAAAUGCGUAGAUAUCAGGAGGAACACCGGUGGCGAAGGCGGCUUUCUGGACAGUAACUGACGCUGAGGCGCGAAAAGCCGGGGGAGGCAAACAGG